rnacentral:rRNA from 1 species
UAAUACCGGCGGCUCGAGUGGUGGCCACUAUUACUGGGCUUAAAGCGUUCGUAGCUGGUCUGUUAAGUCUCUGGGGAAAUCUACUGGCUUAACCAAUAGGCGUUUCAGGGAUACUGGCAGACUAGGGACCGGGAGAGGUGAGAGGUACUCCAGGGGUAGGAGUGAAAUCCUGUAAUCCUUGGGGGACCACCUGUGGCGAAGGCGUCUCACCAGAACGGCUCCGACAGUGAGGGACGAAAGCUGGGGGAGCAAACCGG